CUGCUUGUGUUCCCUCCCUCGCUGGCUGUCUCUAUCUCUGUCAAAGAAAUAAAUAAAAUCUUAAAAAAAUAAAUAAAUUUCCUAUUUGGUCUUUUCCCAUUAGCUGAGUUUUGCAGCCUUUGGCACAGGAGUGAAUUUCCUCGGGUAUCUCCAUGUUCUUCCCUGCAAGCUCAUCGUUGUCUUUCUUGGGAGCCAUCAGCUGCCCUGGCCAGCUCUGUCUUUCUGGGGACAGGACACCAGUUCCCCUCACAUACUCCUUCAGUGAUGGGAUGAGCAAUACUCUACCUCGGAUCUGUGAGAGAAGGAGGACACAGCUAAAAAAUCCUCUCUUGGCCCAUGUGAGGCCGCCAUCUUGUCUGAAACUUAAGCCCCUCCAUGUUAUUAAUCCGGCCCAUCUCUUCAACAGUGUAUUGCCUAGAACAGUGCCUGGCACAUACCAGGUACAUACUAAAUAAUUGUUGACUGGAGUCUUAAAGCCGUCAGACUGACCGAGAGAGAGAGAGUGCACAGAGACAAGAUGGUCGAGGCCCACGCCCUGAGGAACUACAGAGGAGUUGAGAGGAAACUUGCUCUAGAGAAGUUGAAUUAUGUGGAGAGAUCUAAUACGAUGAGAAC